rnacentral:rRNA from 1 species
ACCCCCCUACGGGAGGCAGCAGUAGGGAAUAUUGCUCAAUGGGGGAAACCCUGAAGCAGCAACGCCGCGUGGAGGAUGAAGGUCUUAGGAUUGUAAACUCCUUUUGUUAGAGAAGAUUAUGACGGUAUCUAACGAAUAAGCACCGGCUAACUCCGUGCCAGCAGCCGCGGUAAUACGGAGGGUGCAAGCGUUACUCGGAAUCACUGGGCGUAAAGAGUGCGUAGGCGGGGGAAUAAGU